rnacentral:piRNA from 1 species
UGGCCACCAAGUAGUCAGUGAAAGGAUGGU